rnacentral:lncRNA from 1 species
AUGUCGUUAAUCUGUUCAUUUUCCAUACAGGGCUCAGUUGUGACUUUGACCAAAUGGCUGUGCAGAGGAAUAAAGGGAUCUGGCAGGCCUGUCUGGCCUUCACCUAGUAUCAGGGGAACCUAUGACAAUGUCCUCUGGCUUACACCACUGCCCAUUAGUGACCCAUACUAUUGCGGUUUAAAGGGUCACAUUAGAGACAGAUGUCCAGUCUGUCAGGGCUUCAAAUCCAGAAUGAGGAAGCAAAGAGGAAAGCACUUUAGAUAUAUUCUCAGAACCUGCUUGGUCAGCUCAUGGGAGCUCAUCAACCACUACGAGUGCUCCCCCAGCCUUGCCAGACAGAGAGACCAAGGAAGAUUCCCGUCACUGGGGCCAUCCUCUAGGAAGCUUCAGAGCUCAGACAACUCUUGUUAUCCAAAGCCUAAGAAUCUGACCAGAGAUGAAGGCCACUCCGGUAUCAAGGGAAGAGUGUGCCAAUUGGUUUGCCAUGCCACUGUAUCAGCUCACAGUGGCUUUCCCCGCCAUUGACUCUGGUGCCCACACUGGGACCAUCGAGAAUGGCUACCUCAUCAAUAAUGACAGUAGAUAGAAUCUCAGAAUCGUAGGACUGGAAGGGACUUCGAGAGGUCCUCUAGUCCAGUCUCCCUCAUGGCAGGACUAAGUAUUAUCUAGACAAUCCCUGACAGGUGUUUGGAGAUUUUUAAGAGCAGGUUAGACAGAGACAGAAAUAACAUGAUCCAAUCACUGGAAGGUGAACCUAGAUGGGAAAUAAGACAUACAUUUUAAACUGCCAAACCAGUGAGAGGUCAUUCUCUUACAGCACACCAGCUUUCUAAAUGGAUUAUCAGCUGCAUUGUUACCCUAGGCAGCAUAGCAUGUAACAUGCUCCUUGAGAAGAGCUGUCAGUGCAUUCAACUAGACAGCAUUCGGCCUCCCUGGCACUUGUUGGAAAUGUCCCUAUUGUGGAUAUGUGCAAGGCAGCAACGUUGUCCUUGGUCCAUAUGUUGGCCAGACACUAUGCAAUCACUACCACUUCAAGGGAAGAUGUGAAUGUGUGGAAAGCAGUCCUGCAGUCUUUCUUCCUUUGAGACUCCUAGUCCUAUCUCCAUUGUAAACAGGCACCUACAAUGUGAUGGAUAUAUGCAAUCGCUGGAAGAAAGCACUUACCCAUCUUCUUGUAACUGUUUUUUGAGAUGAGUUGCACAUGUCCAUUACAGAUUACACAACCUUUCCCAACACAUCACCGUCAAUCAUCUGGAUUGCAGUUUGAAGGAACUGAAGGAAGAGCCAGGUGGCUCCACCUUUUAUACCCUCAGCUCGGAGCACAAGGAAACCAGGUUGCUUACAGGGCACUCCAGAAAACUGUCCAGCACCUGUGCCUGGAAUGCACACACCUACAGUAAAAUGGAGAUAUGCAACACAUCUCAAAGAACAACAGUUAUGAGAAGGUGAAUAACUGGUUUUUUGUUUUGUUUUCCUGGGUGAGACUUGACUUCACUUGAGAAAAGGAAUGUGUAAGUUGUUGGCC